rnacentral:rRNA from 1 species
AUUGAACGCUGGCGGCAGGCUUAACACAUGCAAGUCGAGCGGAGCGAGGGUGCUUGCACCUUAGCUUAGCGGCGGACGGGUGAGUAAUGCUUAGGAAUCUGCCUAUUAGUGGGGGACAACAUUCCGAAAGGGAUGCUAAUACCGCAUACGCCCUACGGGGGAAAGCAGGGGAUCUUCGGACCUUGCGCUAAUAGAUGAGCCUAAGUCGGAUUAGCUAGUUGGUGGGGUAAAGGCCUACCAAGGCGACGAUCUGUAGCGGGUCUGAGAGGAUGAUCCGCCACACUGGGACUGAGACACGGCCCAGACUCCUACGGGAGGCGGCAGUGGGGAAUAUUGGACAAUGGGGGGAACCCUGAUCCAGCCAUGCCGCGUGUGUGAAGAAGGCCUUUUGGUUGUAAAGCACUUUAAGCGAGGAGGAGGCGCUCUAGGAUAAUAUCCUAGAUGCGUGGACGUUACUCGCAGAAUAAGCACCGGCUAACUCUGUGCCAGCCGCCGCCGUAAUAC